rnacentral:rRNA from 1 species
GACGAACGCUGGCGGCGCGCCUAACACAUGCAAGUCGAACGAGCGAGAGAGAGCUUGCUUUCUUGAGCGAGUGGCGAACGGGUGAGUAACGCGUGAGGAACCUGCCUCAAAGAGUGGGACAACAGUUGGAAACGACUGCUAAUACCGCAUAAGCCCACGGUGCCGCAUGGCACAGAGGGAAAAGGAGCAAUCCGCUUUGAGAUGGCCUCGCGUCCGAUUAGCUAGUUGGUGAGGUAACGGCCCACCAAGGCGACGAUCGGUAGCCGGACUGAGAGGUUGAACGGCCACAGUGGGACUGAGACACGGCCCAGACUCCUACGGGAGGCAGCAGUGGGGAAUAUUGCACAAUGGGGGAAACCCUGAUGCAGCGACGCCGCGUGGAGGAAGAAGGUCUUCGGAUUGUAAACUCCUGUUGUUGGGGAAGAUAAUGACGGUACCCAACAAGGAAGUGACGGCUAACUACGUG